UAAUAAUAAUAAUAAUAAUAAUAAAACAGUUCAAGGCAACAAUCCAAAAUGUCAGGCAGCAUUUAGCAAUGAACAAACCACCCUGAGAAGUCUUUAAGAUGAAGAGGUGAUUAGUAAAUUACAUGCAGGUGAGUUUUAUUAGCACGUUGCUGAGUGGUUGGCUGAGAGGAGAGCAUGGUAGUUGGUAGAAGAUUCUGGAGUUCCCAGGAAAUGUCUCAGUUCUCAGUCCACAAAUAAUUUUCUCUCUCUCUUUUUUUUAAAUAAUCCAUUUAAAUACUUCCACACAUAGAAACCCACUCAGCCACUCACUGUAUUAUCAACAGUUUUGCUUUUUUCUCAUAAAAUACUGGAGAGGAGGGAAGAUAUGCAGCCACUGGCACAUCUGGCAGCAAAUGAACAUAGUGGAUCAUUUAGAUGUCAGCUGCUAUGGGUAGACAGAGGAGUAUGCCCAUAUUCUGUUUCUACAGAAAAAAGAGAAGAUAAAUGUUUUUCAUUCAACAACAAUUCUAACCGUCACACGUCUUGGCUGGUGGACUACAUUUAUGGCAUGGACAUGUGGACAAAUUGACAGAGCAAACAUUCGCUUUGAUGCUUCUCUUACCUCCUGGUCUAUAUUCAGAAAAAUAUUACAUAUUUCUCCUCACACUCCUGCUGAGUCCAGAAAGCUGGCCGAGCAAAGGGAAGAGAGAUAAGACGACGAGAGAGUAUGUGAGGAGGGGGAAAAAAAAUCAUCAUCUUCCAAGGUCAGUCAAAGU